UGGGGAAUAUUGCACAAUGUGCGCAAGCCUGAUGCAGCCAUGCCGCGUGUAUGAAGAAGGCCUUCGGGUUGUAAAGUACUUUCAGCGGGGAGGAAGGGAGUAAAGUUAAUACCUUUGCUCAUUGACGUUACCCGCAGAAGAAGCACCGGCUAACUCCGUGCCAGCAGCCGCGGUAAUACGGAGGGUGCAAGCGUUAAUCGGAAUUACUGGGCGUAAAGCGCACGCAGGCGGUCUGUCAAGUCGGAUGUGAAAUCCCCGGGCUCAACCUAGGAACUGCAUUCGAAACUGGCAGGCUAGAGUCGUGUAGAGGGGGGUAGAAUUCCAGGUGUAGCGGUGAAAUGCGUAAAGAUCUGGAGGAAUACCGGUGGCGAAGGCGGCCCCCUGGACAAAGACUGACGAUCAGGUGCGAAAGCGGGGGGAGCAAACAGG
rnacentral:rRNA from 1 species